rnacentral:lncRNA from 1 species
AAUCUUAGGCUUCUGGUUAUUUUAGUUAUUGCCAUUUGAAUUGAAAGUCUGGAACUGGAAUUCUGCAUCUGUAGUUGAUGUAUGAAUUUUGAAUUUCGUAGACUUUGUUUACUUUUGAGGAUUGGGAAUGUUUCUAGGCUGGGGGAUCUAGAGCUCGAUUUAUAGGAUAUGAUAUUCUUAUGACUAUUGAAUUGGAGUUCCUUUGAAACACUAGUUUGAACUACAAUUUGAUCCAUU